UGAUGCACAGACAGCUGCUGUUUCUCCCUUCACCGGCUCCCCAAAACUAUUCUCCUUCCUUCAUUUCAUCCCCACACUGCCUCCAUUCAUCCCCUCUCUACUUGCCCCUUCCUUCCCUCUGCUCUGUCAUUCUGCUCUGCACUUUUUCUCCGGCGGAUAUAAAGGCAGGUCCAUUUGGAGGGAGAGAGGGCUUGUGAAAUCUCUGGCUGCACAUGAGCACCGGAGAGUUAUUGCUUCAGCCGGAAAGGCACCACGAGCGCGUAAAAGGACAAACUUUGGAAUAAGGAGAGGAAGAAGGAAUACCACUGAGACAGGGAGGGAGGGAGACGCAGAAAGAGUUUGGAGUUGGGGUGCAGGACACAGACCAUGUCGGGCUCUGUGGUGCUGCUGCUGUCCCUGUUGGUCCUGUCCACAGGCAGUGAUACCAGGAGAAUCAGGAAAAGAGGACUCAACCAUAAGGACUACGAGUACCCCAACCACCCCCAGUCCACACAGCACCAGAAGAACGACAGGUGUCCGCCGCCACCCCAGAUGCUGCCAGAGAGAGCCUGUGAGGUGCCGGGCUGCCGCUCAGACUCAGAGUGUGAGCGCCAUAAACGCUGCUGCUACAAUGGAUGCAUCUACGCCUGCCUGGAGUCGGUCCAGCCUCCACCGGUGUUGGACUGGCUGGUGCAGCCAAAGCCUCGGUGGUUGGGGGGCAACGGCUGGCUGUUAGACGGCCCUGAGGAGGUUCUGCAGGCUGAGGCCUGCAGCACAACUGAGGAUGGAGACGAGCCUCUUCACUGUCCCACGGGCUACGAGUGCCACAUCAUCAAUCCAGGAAACCCUUCCACUGGCAUCCCAAACCGGGGACAGUGCAUCAAGCAACGUGGCAACUCUGAAGGACGUCUGAGGCACAAAUACUUCAAGGACAACAAGGACUACUUAGGUAAGUGAGGCACCAGUUCGAGCAAUGCAGUGGGCUACGAUAAACAUCAUCACAAGCACCUGGGAUGAAAUCAGCCUGACCUCAGCCUCACCUAAGACCAUAACACAACCUCAGAACAUCAGCCCAGUCCUGUUCGAUCCGCUCUCAUCGCAACUGAACCGGGAUCCGAUCUGACCUUUUUGCCAGACUUCCAGCUGCUACCUCCUCUUGCGAAGCCCCGUAGUCGCCGUGCCUCACAAGGUGUCUUUGUCUCUCUGUCUGUGGUCUGUGAGCAGAUUAGGCAGAGAGUGUUAAACGGUGAAGCAGAGGUGUGCACCAAAGCUGUUUAUCAAAUGUCUUAAAAGGAAAUAAGGAGCCAAGGCUAUUUUUUUUUAAUUUCUUUAAAAACCUCUCCUUCCCUGCUGCUCAUUGUUAUUGUCACAAACACACUCUCUAACCUUAAGGCUGGUCAGCAGAGAAAAUCGAGACCAUGUGGCCGUGACACUCAUUCUGUCUCUCUUGUUCUCAGAAGGACGGUGCUCAAAUUUCCUGAUCUGAAAUCUGGAAAGUAUUACAGACAAACAGGAAAAAUUCCAGCUGCAGUGGUUCUCAUCUUUGAAUCAAAUCCAAAUGUGGUUUAAUGUUCAAACUUACAACUCUAACUAAAAGAAUAAAUGCCAUAUGAGUGUGUGGAUUGUGUCCGUUUUAAAGGAUUUGGAACAGCUGUAGAUUAGUUCUAGCCAACAGAUGCUGACCGUGAUUUCCUCCCUAUAAAAAGCAAACGCAAAUUAAAAUGAGGUUUAUUUGAGAGAGUAAUAUAGAAAAUUUGAUACUGUAAAGAUGGAUUUUGGGUGGAUUAUCCUUUCAAAAUAAAUAUAUCCAUAAAAAUCUGUACAUAUUAUAUCUUUAAUUAAUUUCCUGAAAUAAAUGUAAUGAAACAAGUCAAUUGUCUACCAGCGCAGUAUGAUUUUUCAAACAAUUCAUAAUUUUCAGGAAUCAUACUGCCUAAUUUCAAAAUAAUGGUCUCUCUAUUGGACUUAUCACGUUCCCUGUUGCAGUGCAGACCUGAUAAUAAAAAGGGCUUCGGCACAGAGCGGAUAUAUUAAACUGGCCAAAAGAUCUUCUGUGUCGUUCUCAAACGUAGCUUGCUUUAGUUAAACUUAGGUCGUCUCUGUUGUCAAUUCAAAUGGUGCUCAGUUUCAUUGCUGCCUAUAAUAACAGGAGAAUAAGCUGGUCACAUGAUACGCUGAAAGGCUGUAACCAUUCACUAUGUGCAGAGCUAAAGUGAACGUCGCUAUCUGACUGGUGCUGCAAUGUUGCCUUGUUAAUUCUAUAUAAACCAGAUUGUUGAAAUAAAUGCUGAGUUCUGUGCUGUUUUUUUUUCUGUUUUCAGCAAGUGAUCUUAAAUCUCAGGACAAAGUUAGAAAUUAUGAUGAAGAAGCAUUGACAAGUCAGGUAAAGAUCACA